CCCGCUGAACUUAAGCAUAUCAGUAAGCGGAGGAAAAGAAACUAACAAGGAUUCCCGUAGUAACGGCGAGUGAACUGGGAUCAGCUCAAAUUUAAAAUCUGGCCUUCGGGUCCGAAUUGUAGUCUAAAGAGGUGCUAUCAUGCAGACGACGUGCGUACAAGUGUCCUGGAAUGGACCAUCACAGAGGGUGAGAAUCCCGUUUGGAUGCACGACGUCUGUGUAUACGAGGCACUCUCUAAGAGUCGAGUUGUUUGGGAAUGCAGCUCAAAAUGGGUGGUAAACUUCAUCCAAGGCUAAAUAUUGGCAAGAGACCGAUAGCGAACAAGUACCGUGAGGGAAAGAUGAAAAGCACCUUGAAAAGGGAGUUAAACAGCGCGUGAAAUUGUUAAAAGGGAAACGAUUGAAGCUAGCAUUGUGCGGACUGGGAUGGGGGAGUGAGAGUGUUGAGAGAGCGCAAGCCUCGUAGUGCUUGAUCUCGUCUAAUCCUGCCGUGCGAGUCAGGACCGCUUCGGCGCCGCCUUAGAAUACUCCGAGAAGGUAACUACGCAAGUAGUCUUAUAGCCCGGAGGGAUGUGGUGAGCUGGAGCUGGUAGUGCACUAGGUAGUCUCUGUAGGACUUGGCGAGCGUGGACUGCAUGCAGACCACACCAACCGGUCUUAACACAAAGGACAAGCCGCUUGCACGACCCUGACGGAAUGGCUUUAAACGACCCGUCUUGAAACACGG
rnacentral:rRNA from 1 species